AUUGAACGCUGGCGGCAGGCCUAACACAUGCAAGUCGAACGAGUGGCGGACGGGUGAGUGAUGUCGGGGAAACUGCCUGAUGGAGGGGGAUAACUACUGGAAACGGUAGCUAAUACCGCAUACCAUCGGAUGUGCCCAGAUGGGAUUGGCUAGUAGGUGGGGUAACGGCUCAGCUAGGCGACGAUCCCUAGCUGGGCUGAGAGGAGGACCAGCCACACUGGAACUGAGAAACGGUCCAGAUUCCUACGGGAGGCAGCAGUGGGGAAUAUUGCACAAUGGGCGAAAGCCUGAUGCAGCCAUGCCGCGUGUAUGAAGAAGGCCUUCGGGUUGUAAAGUACUUUCAGCGGGGAGGCGGUACCCGCAGAAGAAGCACCGGCUAACUCCGUGCCAGCAGCCGCGGUAAUUC
rnacentral:rRNA from 1 species